AUAUUGUAUCUUAGUUUAAAGAGACAAAUUCAGACUAUGUGGAAGCCUGAUGCAAUCUGAUCACAUGUUUGCUUACACUUCCUCUUUAUUUCUUUGUGUGAUUUUUAUGUAUGCUAAAGACCAGGCUUUAUUCUCUCAUUUCUGAUCUGACUUUUAUCGGUUAAAAUGCCCUUAAAAGGAAUUGAUUUGAGUCUGUCUUCGAACGAAACUUGCUGUAGUCCAAUAGGCGUGCGAAUUUGUGCAUCUUUAAGACAUGCGACUGCAGGGCCUCUUCCUGUGGUUUGCACCAUGUGGCCUAAAAAGUGUUAAAAGGCGACAACUUCUUUCUCUUUUCUCUGUUGUUUCCGGGAUCCAGUUGGCAGAGAACUGAUUGAACAAAUAGCUGUAAAAUGAACAUUUGGAGCACAUGGGGAUAAGAGGAAGCAUGUAACGAUUGAGAAGAGGCGGGAACUUCAGAGGUACAGUGCAGUCACUCAUAAAGUAGACAGCACUACUAAAGGUCUCUACACAGUGUAGUGUUUCCUACUUUAUGGAUGAGUGUACUGUUGGCUGCGAUGGAGCUGCAGAGAUGCUGAAUAUGAAUGUCCCAUUUGUGAAAUGUUAAUAAAGAUUGUGUUUCAUGACUGAUUGUGACGCGGCAAAAGUGAAAGUGUAUGCACAAUAACUUGUAUAGACAACUGUGAAAUGGGAAACUAAGAAAUAAAAUGAAGAGAAACUGCGUA